rnacentral:rRNA from 1 species
UACGUAGGGUGCAAGCGUUGUCCGGAAUUAUUGGGCGUAAAGAGCUCGUAGGCGGUUUGUCGCGUCGAAUGUGAAAACCCGGGGCUCAACCCCCGGGCCUGCAUUCGAUACGGGCAGACUAGAGUUCGGUAGGGGGAGUCUGGAAUUCCUGGUGUAGCGGUGAAAUGCGCAGAUAUCAGGAGGAACACCGGUGGCGAAGGCGGAUCUCUGGGCCAUUACUGACGCUGAGGAGCGAAAGCGUGGGGAGCGAACAGG